AUUAAAUGCGAAAAAUAUCUCGCUUGCAAACAUAUCUGGGCGGGAUUAAAUAUGUGACGAGAUUGCUUGAUAUUGUAAUCAUCGUUGAUCAACAAGAAUAAUAUACGGCUCUUUGAGAAUGUAUCAUUUUGGGAAUUCCAAUAAUUUGUUUAAUAGAUACAAAUUGUGAUUCCGAUCAUGUAGAUAUUUCAAUUCCAGCAAAUGAUGAUGCUAUAGCUUUAAUUCGUUUAAUUCUUAACAAAUCAAUAGUCUCAAUUUGCGAGGGUCGUUCUAGCUAUAUACGAAAUCCUUGAUUAAUAAUAAAUUAAUAAUAAGAUAAAUAAAUUAUUUUUUGGAACUACAUAGAUCUAUGGAAUCAGUUACUAUAUAUUGAAUUGCACAAAAGAGAUAAAAAUAGUAAAUAUUGCGUGAUUAGUCUAGUCGUUGUCAAAAAUAUAAAAUUUGAGUAGGCAAGAGAAUAUUGAAUCAAAAUAAUUCCUUUUUUUUAAAGUAAAGUUCUAUUUCUUUCAAAGGGCAAUAUGAAUGGUAUAUCAUGAGUGAAUAAGUGGAAUAUGAAAGAUAAUACAAAGAAAUAAAUGAAAGGGGGUCAAAUUCUAUUUGUACUAUAGCUGAGACGAGUCUUGGUUAUUUCUAGCCUUGAACUCCUCUAGACCAGACUUCUGGUUGAGCCUUUCAACCAACUAUUUUAAUAUUUUAAUAAAAGAUGUCCCUUUUAAUAAAAAAAUGUUUAAUAAAAUAUGUAUGAAGUAUUAAUAUUCUUUUUGAAUGUGAGGAGCCAUAGUGUGAACAAAUAAAAAAGAAGAGGAAAGAUAAGAAAAUUAUUUCUUUUAAUAAUAGACACAUUAUAAUAUACACUUUGCUCAUUUAAAAAAGAGAAAAUAAAUAUAAAAUAGAAAAAUAAAAUAAAUAAAUAAAAAAGUUUACUCCUAGAUACUUAGCUAGAUAAGUAUAUAUUAUGUCAAACCAUAUAAAUUAAUUUAUCUAAUAUAUACUUAUACAAAUUAAUCAUAUGCCAAGAACCAUAUUUGAAAUGCUGACACGAGGAUUUUCAGUCCUCUGCUAUACCAAUUGAGCUAUCCCGACCAUUACCAAUACAUUAUCCUCAUAAUACUAGAUGACUUGGGUCUAUGUCAAUUAAAAAUGAAAACAAAAAAAUAAAAAAAGUAUUAAAUUAAAAGUUUCGAAUUAAAAUUUCUUGGAUCUUUAAUUUGUAAAUUUCCAUAUGAGUAAUCAUAUGGAUUUUGAAUCAUUCAAAUAAGUAUUCCUUGCUCAAGAGAUUUGUACGUAUAUCAUAUAUAUAUAUAUAUAUAUAUAUCACAAGACUUGUGACUGAUAAGAGAACAAAAUUCUGCUAGGAUACACUUGUAAAGUGGCAAAGAAUAGGGUAAUACACAGAUAAAGUAAGGUUCGUCAAUGGAGGGUGAGGGGCCUAAGAUCAGGCUAGAAGACGUAGUCGAUGGAUAAAUAGUGAAUAUUCCUAUACUACCCCUUGUUGGUCCUGAGGGACAGAGGAGGCUAGGUUAGCCAAAAGAUUGUUAUCGGUUCAAGGACCCAAGGUGCCCUUGCUUUUUCAGGGUAAGAAGGUGUAAAGAAAAUGCCCCCAGCCAAUGUUCGAGUAUCAGGCGCUACAAUGCUGAAGUAACCUAUGCUAUACUCCCAGGAAAAGCUCAAAGAACCUUUAAAAAAAGGGUACCCGAAAUCGACACAGGUGGGUAGGUAAAGAAUACCUAGGGGCACGAGACAACUCUCUCUAAGGAACUCGACAAAAUAACCCUGUAACUUCGGGAGAAAAGGUACCUCCUGACAAAGAGGGUCAUAUUGACCAUGCUCUUGUGACUAUUUACUAAAAGCACAAAACUUCACAAAUUUGUAAGACCAUGUAUGGGGGCUGACAACUGGCCAGUGCCAGAAGGUCAAUGAAGCUAGUGACCUGAUGAAAGAGGAGCCGAUGAUUGAAGCCCCGAUGAAUGACGACCAUAACUAUAAUAGUCAUAAGAUAGGUAAAUUCCUUGUUGGGUAAGUUUAUACGCAUACGAAAGGCUUAACAAUCUUGGCACUAUCUUAGAGAAAGGCUCGAUGAAAUAUACAUGUCUAUGAAGAUGCAAACUACUUGCACCUGGACAAAAAGACCCUAUAAAUAUUUAUUGUUCCAUAGGAUUGGCUUUGGGCUUUUCUUGCACAACUUAGGUGGAAGGAAAAGAAGGACUCCUUCAGAGGGCCUAAGCUAUCAGUGAGAUACCACUUUGAAAGAGCUAGAAUUUUAACCUUGUGUCAGGACCUACGGGCCAAGGAACAGUCUCAGGUAGAUAGUUUCUAUGGGGUGUAGGCCUCCCAAUAGGUAACGAUGGUGUGCAAAGGUUUCCUCGGGCCAAACAAAGAUUGGCCCUUGAGACAAAGGUAGAAUGGAGCUUGACUGCAAGACCUACCCAUCGAGUAGGGAUGAAGUUGGUCUUAGUGAUCCGACGGUGCCGAAUUAAAGGGUCAUCGCUCAAAUGAUAAAAGUUAAUCUAGGGAUAACAUGAUGAUCUUCCCCAAGAUCUCACAUCGAUGGGAAGGUUUGGCACCUCGAUGUCGGCUCUUCGUCACCUGGGGCUAUAAUAUGUUCCAAGGGUUGGGUUAUUUACCCAUUAAAGUGGUAUGUGAGCUGGGUUCAAAACGUUGUGAGACAGUUUGGUCCAUAUUUAGUAUGGGCAUUAGAGCAUUUAGAGGACCUUUCCCUAGUACGAAAACAACCAGGAAUGAUGUACCUCUAGUGUACCAAUUAUCGUGCCCAUGAUAAACGCUGGGUAGAGCAGAUAACUGCUGAAAGCAUAUAAGUAGUAAGCCUACCCCAAGAUGAGUGCUCUCCUAUUUAGACUUCCCCAUAGCCUCUGGUAGCAUAAUUGAGACGAUAAGGGGUUCUCUUUCCCUACAAGGAUCGAGUGAGAAGUUUUGAGAAUUCAAGAGAAAGUCACAGCGAGACGAGCCAUUUAUCAUUACGAUAGGUGUAAAAUGGAAGUGCAGUGAUGUAUGCAGCUGAGGCAUCCUAACAGACCGGUAGACUUGAAC
rnacentral:rRNA from 1 species